UACAGAGGUCUCAACCGUUGUUCGGAUUCAUUGGGCGUAAAGGGUGCGUAGGCGGUCGCGCAAGUCGGAUGUGAAAUCCCGGGGCUCAACCCCGGAACUGCAUCCGAUACUGCCGGACUUGAGGACUGGAGAGGUGACUGGAAUUCUCGGUGUAGCAGUGAAAUGCGUGGAUAUCGAGAGGAACACUCGUGGCGUAAGCGAGUCACUGGACAGUAUCUGACGCUGAGGCACGAAGGCCAGGGUAGCGAAAGGG
rnacentral:rRNA from 1 species